rnacentral:rRNA from 1 species
CCUACGGGAGACAGCAGUGAGGAAUAUUGGUCAAUGGGCGUAAGCCUGAACCAGCCAAGUCGCGUGAGGGAUGAAGGUUCUAUGGAUCGUAAACCUCUUUUAUAAGGGAAUAAAGUGUGGGACGUGUCCUGUUUUGUAUGUACCUUAUGAAUAAGGAUCGGCUAACUCCGUGCCAGCAGCCGCGGUAAUACGGAGGAUCCGAGCGUUAUCCGGUUUUAUUGGGUUUAAAGGGUGCGUAGGCGGCCUUUUAAGUCAGCGGUGAAAGUCUGUGGCUCAACCAUAGAAUUGCCGUUGAAACUGGGAGGCUUGAGUAUGUUUGAGGCAGGCGGAAUGCGUGGUGUAGCGGUGAAAUGCUUAGAUAUCACGCAGAACCCCGAUUGCGAAGGCAGCCUGCCAAGUCAUGACUGACGCUGAUGCACGAAAGCGUGGGGAUCAAACAGGAUUAGAUACCCCAGUAGUC